GCCCAGUUCUACAAAGUUACCACAGAGCAAUACCAGAAAGCUGCUGAUGAAGUGUCAUCUCGGUACAAGAGAUACCAAACUCAUCCAGUCUGCGCUGAUCUGCAGGAUAAGAUUCUACAGUGUUAUCGACAACAUGCUCAGGAGACCCUGAGCUGCUCUGCCCUGGCUAACCAGUACCUGCACUGUGUCAAUCAUGCCAAACAGCAGAGCAUACUUGGGAGAGGAGGAUAAAGGCAUUGUCCAAAUCAAGCACAAGACCAUCAACUAAUUUCAGCAGAAGAGCGUUUUUUACCCCGAGAAUGAUAUGACAGCCCAUUUACAGGGCAGGCCAAUAAAGAGAAGAACUGGAAGAGCCGUUUCAAGAGCAGCAGCCAUCACGACUCAAUCAGUGUGACCAUUUGAAAAGCCAAGACCUGUAUCUUAUUACAUCAGAAAUCACAGAGCUGAAGAUACUGUUCAGUCUUAGUGAAAUCCACUUAGUGGUGAUUGAAGGAAGAAAAAGAAAAGAACCUUUCACUGACCUGAGAAAGGGGAAAUAUCCUUCAAAUGCUGCUAUUUCACUGUAGAAUCUCCUCUAAAACUCCCUGUCAAAGGCACGGGUAUGUAACACUUGGUGUGCCGGGAUGUGGUGGCACUUUGUGAGGAGGUCAGCCCCUGGUCCUCACUGUACACACAGCCUGUUUUCCUUACCAUGUAUCAUGACUUAAAUUGUGCUUAAACUUAUUUCACAAGUCAUGUCACUAAAUGAAGUCUCUCUCCAGGUCUUCUGCUGGAAUGAUG